rnacentral:rRNA from 1 species
GAUGAACGCUGGCGGCGUGCCUAAUACAUGCAAGUCGAGCGAACAGACGAGGAGCUUGCUCCUCUGACGUUAGCGGCGGACGGGUGAGUAACACGUGGAUAACCUACCUAUAAGACUGGGAUAACUUCGGGAAACCGGAGCUAAUACCGGAUAAUAUAUUGAACCGCAUGGUUCAAUAGUGAAAGACGGUUUUGCUGUCACUUAUAGAUGGAUCCGCGCCGCAUUAGCUAGUUGGUAAGGUAACGGCUUACCAAGGCAACGAUGCGUAGCCGACCUGAGAGGGUGAUCGGCCACACUGGAACUGAGACACGGUCCAGACUCCUACGGGAGGCAGCAGUAGGGAAUCUUCCGCAAUGGGCGAAAGCCUGACGGAGCAACGCCGCGUGAGUGAUGAAGGUCUUCGGAUCGUAAAACUCUGUUAUUAGGGAAGAACAAAUGUGUAAGUAACUAUGGACGUCUUGACGGUACCUAAUCAGAAAGCCCCGGCUAACUACGUG